UCUCCGUUGGUGAACCAGCGGAGGGAUCAUUAUUAGCGCGUUUUUCUAGCACGCAAACCCCCUGUGAACAUACCUAACGUUCCUUCGGCGGGAUCGCCCCAGCUGCCCUGAGCGCCGGAACCAGGCCCCCGCCGCAAGACCUUAAACUCUGUUUUAUUAUAGUUGUUUACUCUGAGUAGCUUCUAAAGCAAAGAAAUAAAUCAAAACUUUCAACAACGGAUCUCUUGGUUCUGGCAUCGAUGAAGAACGCAGC
rnacentral:misc_RNA from 1 species